AUGUCUUCAUCCAGCAAGCGCCCUUCCCAUUCUGAUUUUUCUGCUUCUCGUAACAAUGGUUAUGGCGGGGCCAAUUGUGGCAAUGGAAUUAAUGUUGGCACUGGAACUCAAGGACUGUUUACGGUGCCAAUCAAGAUGUCUUCUGUUGAACUGAAGACCGGGCCUAUCAACGUUGAACGUGCCAAAAAAUUUGAGACUAGAAAGGCAGACAAGGAUGAAGACAAUAAGUUGGAGUAUCAUCUUACCUCAUGUGUUGCAGUCAUGAUAUCAAUCCACUGUGAUGCUAGUCGUAGACAAUGGAUGCCUGUGGAACAACUCCCACUGGUGGAAAAAAGGCCCUUGGUCGCGGUUCACAACUGCCAUUAG
rnacentral:rRNA from 1 species